AGGACGAACGCUGGCGGCGUGCUUAACACAUGCAAGUCGAGCGGAAAGGCCCUUCGGGGUACUCGAGCGGCGAACGGGUGAGUAACACGUGAGUAAUCUGCCCCUAGCUCUGGGAUAGCUCCGGGAAACCGGGAUUAAUACCAGAUACGACCACUUUAGACAUCUGCUGUGGUGGAAGAAUUUGGCUAGGGAUGAGCUCGCGGCCUAUCAGCUUGUUGUGAGGUAACGCUCACAAGGCGACGACGGUA
rnacentral:rRNA from 1 species